GUGCUCACUUCUGCAGCACAUAUACUAAAAAAUCAGAACGAUACAGAGAUUAGUACGGGCCCUGCUCAAAGAUGACAUGCAAAUUCAUGAAGUGUUGCAUAUUUUU
ensembl:snRNA U6 U6 spliceosomal RNA